AUUAAAGCCACGAGAUAUAGGUACAAAAGGAGUUACUGACAUUUAGAAGACUUAUUCACCUAUCCUCUCUUAUGAAUGGAUAAGAAAAUACAGUUUUCAUAGCUCUCAUGUCUCUAAGAAAUCUGUAUCAGAGUAUGGUAAUGAGGAAUUUGUACAGCUAUGGACCCCUGCUGCUGGAGAUGUUACCUGAAAAGGACGACAGCCAAAGUGUCAAUGGUGAAUUAUAUAGUUUGUCACACUCUGAGCACUCUUUCAUUUUCAUGAUGACUCCAAAGAAAGUCUUAACAUAAAAAGGAUGUUGAUUAUUUUCCAAUUAA